rnacentral:rRNA from 1 species
CAGCCGCCACGGUAAUACAGAGGGUGCGAGCGUUAAUCGGAUUUACUGGGCGUAAAGCGUGCGUAGGCGGCUUCUUAAGUCGGAUGUGAAAUCCCUGAGCUUAACUUAGGAAUUGCAUUCGAUACUGGGAAGCUAGAGUAUGGGAGAGGAUGGUAGAAUUCCAGGUGUAGCGGUGAAAUGCGUAGAGAUCUGGAGGAAUACCGAUGGCGAAGGCAGCCAUCUGGCCUAAUACUGACGCUGAGGUACGAAAGCAUGGGGAGCAAACAGGAUUAGAUACCCCUGUAGUCCCUGUCUCUUAACA